ACAACAACAUAUCAUGGCAGCAACACCACUAGCGGUCAUGGGGGGGGCAGUGCCCCUGUGACAACAAUUUUGGACCCCCUAAAUGUGGAUUAUGAAAUAAUUUUUACAUAACUAAUUUUUGCUAUCGUUAUUUUUUUUAAUCCGUUAUUAGAAAGUAGCAACGCGGAACAGUAAUUUAACCCACACAUUUUCUAGAGGGACGGCUUUAGGCGGAACACAACAGUAUCGUACCACAUGCAACUGCAAGUUUUUUUCUAUUCAGAAGUUGUAAGAAAUUCCGCACGAAUAUUAAAGUUCAAGCACAAUGAACGAAAUAUAGAGUUUUCAGCAAAAAUGAAGAGAAAAAGAAAAGACAAGGCAGACAGUGAGACAGAGCCAGAUGGUUCAGCAGUAGAGAGAGCAGGAAGACCUGUCCAUUGGAGAGACUGAGAGUGAAGGCAUAGUAGAGCAGGAAAGUGAGACAGAUGCUGAGAGUGAGACACCAACAGAGGAGCCACGUGUGUCCACAAGCAGUGGACCGUCAGAUAUCAGCAAAUCCUGAGAGGAACCACCGGUGCAGCCAAUGAUGCACAUAUACCCAAGAACUCUGAUGGGGGACCGGAGGAGGAGCUUCAAGGCGGCCUGGUACCAUAUCUACACCUGCCUUGAAUAUUCAAAAGAAUCAGACUCUGUGUUUUGUUACGUCUGCAGGCAUUUUAGCCCUCCCAAAGUCUCAGACUGUAUUUGAUUCACAUUUGGGUUUUAACAACUGGAAGAAGGCAACUUACAAAGAAGGGGGAUUUGCAAUUCAUGCAAGAGGUCUGAGCGGCACAAACAAGCAAUGAUUACAUGGAGAGACUAUCAGAAAGCUGUACAAAGUAAUGCAACACUGGUAAAUGCCCUAAACAAGGAACACAACAAACCGGUUCAAGAAAAUAGGGACAAUAUUAAAACAAUAGAAGUACUACUACUUACAGCCACACAAAACAUUGCACAAAGAGGAGUCUGCAGAGUCAGAUAAUAAAGUUCAUGGCAAUCCUAGAAACAAUAGCUAAGCAUGACGCAACUGUGAAAAAAAGGUUGACUUCCAUUCAUAAUGCAAAAUAUACAAGCAAAGGGAUUCAGAAUGAGGUUCUGAGGUGUUUGGCAGACAUGGUUUGAACAAAAAUGAUAGAAGUGAAAAACAGUGAUGUCUUUUGCAUAAUGGCAGACAAAAUAAAAGAUGUAAAAAUAAAAUGUUUUAAAGGAGCAGAUAUCUCUAGUACUCAGGUACUAUUUCAGAGGAGCUGUCCAUGAAAGCUUUCUCCGCUUUGAAUCUGCUGAUUGACUAGAUGCAGCAGGGCUUACUGACAGAAUCAUAAACAUAUUAGAAAGUCAUGGUCUUGAAUACAAAAACAACCUAGUAGGCCAAGCAUAUGACGGUGCUUCCGUUAUGAGUGGCAAGCAUUCAGGUGUCCAGGCACACAUUAAAGAACAAGCAAAGCCUUUUACAUCCACUGCAGUGCACACUGUCUAAACUUAGUUUUAGUGGACACAGUCAAAACUGUCCCUGAGGUCAGACAGUUCUUUUCCUUACUAGAAAGACUUUACGUCUUCACAUCCGGUUCAUAUGUGCAUCAAAAAUGGCUUAGCAUACAUAAAGAGAUGUACCCAGGUGCACCUAGAGAGUUUCAGAGACUAAGUGACACUCACUGGGCAUGUCGAUAUAUGGCUCUACAUACUAUUAUGGAUAGAUUACCUGCCAUUAAGCGAGUCCUGCAAGACAUAGUCCAAGAACACAAUGGUGACAGAUUUGUUGAGGCACGAGGUCUGCUUGCACAGAUAGAUUUACAAUUCAUUGUGUGCCUUGUUACACUCCAUAAAGUGUUUGGAGAAGCAACAUUUCUAUCAGAUAUGCUACAGUCUUCAUCACUUGACCUGUCAAAGGCUGUUGAUUUAGUUGAAGCCUUAGUUCAAACUUUGAAUGACUACAGGGAUGAGUCAUUUUUUGAUGACCUAUGGAAUGAAGUGUUGAACACAGCUGAGCAAUGUGAUACUGCAAUACACCCCCCUGCAAAACGACCAAAAAAGCUCUCAAUUUAAUGGAGACUCUGUACUCAGUACAAUGGGUCAGAUUCAGAACAAGAAAAGGCCUUUUUCGUACAACCCUUUUCUACCCUGUUUUAGAUCUUAUGCUCAAUGAGCUUAACAGAAGGUUCCCUAACAAACACUGACAUAAUGAAUGGCAUCCAAACUCUAAACCCUACAAGUGAUGUGUUUUUCAAAGAGAAGUCCCUGCACUAAAUCUGAUGAAAACGUAUCUCAGGUCCACAAUGUCAGAUGACAGAUUAAGCAAUUUGGGUGUAUUAAGUAUUGAGUCAAGGAGGACAAAGGCCUUGAGUCUAGAUGAAUUUGCUGAUCUUUUUGCAAAAAAACCCACAAAAACUGGAGAAUACAGUUGAUGUGACCUGAUACUGAAUAUGUAGUGCAAAUGAAAAUUAUAAUGGAAAUGCAAAUAAAUUGUUGAAUGAU